rnacentral:rRNA from 1 species
UACGUAGGGUGCAAGCGUUGUCCGGAAUUAUUGGGCGUAAAGAGCUCGUAGGCGGCUUGUCGCGUCGGCUGUGAAAACCUGGGGCUCAACCCCGGGCGUGCAGUGGAUACGGGCUGGCUGGAGGCAGGCAGGGGAGAAUGGAAUUCCCGGUGUAGCGGUGAAAUGCGCAGAUAUCGGGAGGAACACCGGUGGCGAAGGCGGGUUCUCUGGGGCCUGUGCUGACGCUGGAGGAGCGAAAGCGUGGGGAGCGAACGGG